rnacentral:rRNA from 1 species
UACGUAGGGUGCAAGCGGUAAUCGGAAUUACUGGGCGUAAAGCGUGCGCAGGCGGUUUUGUAAGUCUGUCGUGAAAGCCCCGGGCUCAACCUGGGAAUUGCGAUGGAGACUGCAAGGCUAGAAUCUGGCAGAGGGGGGUAGAAUUCCACGUGUAGCAGUGAAAUGCGUAGAGAUGUGGAGGAACACCGAUGGCGAAGGCAGCCCCCUGGGUCAAGAUUGACGCUCAUGCACGAAAGCGUGGGGAGCAAACAGG